UUGGAGACGGACACAGUUGGAGUCAGGAUGAAGCCCUUCGCAACAAUUGUGCUUGUGAUGUGCAUUUACCUGUCAGGAUCGGACAGUGCAGGAUUGAUGAAGAAAUCAGUGAUAUUCCCAAACAAAACAGCCAACAGCUUUGUCAGG